rnacentral:lncRNA from 1 species
AUGCAUGGCGGUGGGAUGGGUCAGAGAACCCCCCCACCCGCAGCAGCACAAUGGGAUGGGAAAGUCCAUAGGAAGAAGCACGGCUCCAUUCAGCCCUCAGCUCCGGGAGCACCCGGUUUGGCGAUGUGCAUUGGAAGACCGCAGGGUGGGACGGUGCUGACCCGGCUGUUGGAGGGCAGCCGUGGGGCGGAGGGGCCGGGAGCAGCGCCUGCAGGGAGAGGGCAGAGCUCCGUGUCCGCGUUCCUGCGGCUCUCGGAAAGGAGUUCCCCUCCCUAUGGGGCGGGGGCCGGGAACUGGCCGUCCUCCUGCGCUCGGGGUCAGCGGGAGCGCGUCGGAACAUCCUCGGAGCAGCACCUGCCUGUCCCUUCCCAGCAGGACAUGGGAGAAAGCACCACUGAGCCCUUGAAAAAGAAAAGGACGUGCAGUUUUCUGCAGGCUGCAGGUACAUCUUCGUCCUUCCUGCCCCUCUGUCGGCCCCCACCCCCCGCCUCGGGGCUGCAGCCAUGGGUAGCAGUGAGCAUCACCUUCAUGCACACAUGGGGUGCUCACCUGGCACAGCACCACUGCUCUGGGACAUGGCAGAGAAAGGGCUUGGAUGGGUUCCCAUGGAGGUGCAGCAGCACCAGGCCCACCCUGGUGACUUCCAUGCAAUGCAUAUACAGCAACGGUGCAUGCACACGCAUGUGUGUGUGCACAGGGCUGCACGAGUGCAGGCAUGAGGUUGCACACAUGGGUGUUUCAGCAUGUGCCUUCACGUGUGCACACAUCUAUGUGCCCAUGCCUCUGCUGUGGGUUGCUGCCCAUUGCCUUGCAUGCAGCCCUGCAGCCCUACGUGUCUCCAUGCACACAGAGGGGUUCCAUAAAGGAUCAGCCCUUCCCCAGAUCUCACCAAUCUCGCUGCUGUUUUCCCCAGCAAAGCAGCGUAGAGGAACCACUUUGACUCUCUUGUUUCGGCAGUGUCAAAAUGUUUAUCCUGACGGUGUCAAAACACCAAACUCAUCGCAGGAGACUGAAAAAUGGUUCAUUUUGACUUUGUUAUUUCAUUCCUUUAACUUCCCGUUUAUGUUCCGUGGAAGCACUUUCUCAUAUGUGCAGCCUGAGAUCCUCCUGCACUGCAAACACUACAGGGAUCCAUCCCUGCCUGCUCCCAGCUCAGACACUGGCCUGUGCUCUCCCCAUCCCCCCCCCCAAGUCCCCUUUCCCUUCCCUACCUCCUUCCUCCCCCCCCCUUGGCAGCAUAAGCAUCUUGGUGGUGGGCAAUGUGAGCUUAAUGUGGUGAGACAACAUUCUGUUGUUGUCACCAUCAUCACUAUAGAAUCAUCGUUAUCUCCACCAUCAUCAUCACCAUCAUCACCACUGUCACUAUGGAAUCAUCAUCACCACCAUCAUUUUUACUAUAGGAAUAUCACCAAUGUCAUCAUCAUUAUCACCAUCAUCACCAUCACAACCAUCAUCAUUGUCACUAUAGAAUCAACAUCACCAUCAUCACUGCCAUCGCUGUUACUAUAG